GUAAAUCUGCUAGGGCUGUAACUUGGGUUGAAUUAGUACCUUAUUCUUGGGAUUUUUCUUGUAAAAUUCUUAUAUUAUGUUGGUAUUGAAUUAAGGGAAAGUGUUAGUGAAGGAAUCUCUGAUUCGUGAGCCAUAGUUGAGGAGAUAUCACCCCACAAUUAAGAGUCCUUUUUAGUAAUUUUGCAGGUAUUGUGUAAGCUCGGAUGUGGAUUACAGAUGUGAUUGAGGAAGGAAUAAUUUUGCUGAAAUGUUUUGAGGCCAUCAAAGAUUAUGAUAGGUUAAGAUCUCUUGUGUAUUUAUAUUUGAUUAUAAGGGAUAAUUCAGGUUUUAUUUUGUAAAUUGGAUUCUAAGUGUAAUUAGUGAGAAAUAAGUAAUUCUAAAUAAGCAGCUCAAAAGUGUGGGCUGUUACAGGUGGUAUCAGAGCCAAGGUUGAUUUUGGGUUUGCUAUGAUCUUCAUAUCAUAGUAUAUGAGUUGAAAAUGGGUUAUUGAUU